CCUACGGGGGGCUGCAGUGGGGAAUAUUGGACAAUGGGGGCAACCCUGAUCCAGCCAUGCCGCGUGUGUGAAGAAGGCCCUCGGGUUGUAAAGCACUUUCAGUGAGGAAGAACGCCUGGUGGUUAAUACCCAGCAGGAAAGACAUCACUCACAGAAGAAGCACCGGCUAACUCCGUGCCAGCAGCCGCGGUAAUACGGAGGGUGCGAGCGUUAAUCGGAAUUACUGGGCGUAAAGCGCGCGUAGGUGGCUUGAUAAGCCGGUUGUGAAAGCCCCGGGCUCAACCUGGGAACGGCAUCCGGAACUGUCAAGCUAGAGUGCAGGAGAGGAAGGUAGAAUUCCCGGUGUAGCGGUGAAAUGCGUAGAGAUCGGGAGGAAUACCAGUGGCGAAGGCGGCCUUCUGGACUGACACUGACACUGAGGUGCGAAAGCGUGGGUAGCAAACAGGAUUAGAUACCCCUGUAGUC
rnacentral:rRNA from 1 species